UUCAGACGAUGCGUCAUGCAUAUCAAUAAGCGGAGGAAAAGAAACUAACAAGGAUUCCCUCAGUAACGGCGAGUGAAGCGGGAAGAGCUCAAAUUUGAAAUCUUGAAAGGUCACCUUUCACGAAUUGUAGUUUAAAGAAGUGUUUUCUGUUACGAUCGUAAUAUAAGUUCUUUGGAAUAGGACAUCACAGAGGGCGAGAAUCCCGUCUAUGAUUGCGAUUUGUAGCUUUGUGAUACACUUUCAAAGAGUCGGGUUGUUUGGGAAUGCAGCCCAAAACGGGAGGUAAAUUUCUUCUAAGGCUAAAUAUUGGCGAGAGACCGAUAGCGAACAAGUACCGUGAGGGAAAGAUGAAAAGAACUUUGAAAAGAGAGUUAAAUAGUACGUGAAAUCGUCAAAAGGGAAGCGUUUAACACCAGUGUUGUUUUCUGAAAAUCAACCUCUGUUAGCUUUAUGCAUGUUUGUUUAGACCUAAUCAGCUAUCUUGCAUGUUCUAUUGUUUGCAGUGGUGCACUUUUCAGUUUACAGGUCAACAUCAGUUUUUUUUACCGUAAAAAAGUUAAAGAAAGGUAGCUCAUGGCUCCGGUCGUGAGUGUUAUAGUCUUUUUCCUAUGCGGUAGGAGAGACUGAGGUCUGCAGUGUAGGCUAUUUGGCUAGAUACUCAGGUGCUAUGUGAUACCAUUUCAUAAACAACUUGUUGAUUAUGUUUUGUCUAUUGCAUACUCGCUUGUACUAUCAUACCUACGCUUAGGAUGUUGAAGACUCUACAGAGAUA
rnacentral:rRNA from 1 species